CCCAGGAGCCCCGCCCACGGGGGCGCGCCUUCUGCCAGAGCACUCCCCCCCUUAGAGUGUCGGACUCCCAGCAAGGGGUCCCAGGCCCACGGGGCGCGCCUUCUGCCAGAGCACUCCCCCUUAGCCGACAUUGGGGUGUCGGACUCACAGCAGGGGUCCCGGGAGCUUGGCCGAUGGGGGAGAGCCUCCGCUUGCCAUUCUGGCCUUCGGCACUAGGGGAUCUCCAGGGCAGAGAUCCUUGGUGCGUCAGGGAUGGGAGGAGCCCCUCCGGAUUCACUGGGGAGAGAAGCCUUUGAACGUGACCGGGGGCGGGUCUCUCCCUUCCAAGGGUGCUACUUCCUGUAGCAUCAAGAUGGAGAAAGACCCUAGCGCGGGCUGUAGGAGUGCACUCGGUGCUGACCAGCCCUGAUCCACUGCCAGAGAAUUGGGUGCCGGGAAACCCUGUGAAGGCUGGGGGAGCCUCGGCAGCUGGGCCUCGGGUCAGAGCCUUCCAGUGUAGUCCAGCCCUGAUCCAAGACCAGAGAAGGACCCAAGGGCCAAGGAGACCAGCCUACGGCGAUACCAGUUAUAUUCUGCUUCCCCGCGCAUCUUCUGCUAAGUCGUGUGCUCGUGGACACUCAGUGAGCCGCAGCCAUCCCUCCCCAUUCUGCUGACAGUGUCCCCACCUCCCAGGUACCGAAGGCUCUUCUGGGGCCUCCCUUCACUGUGGGGGAAAUCAGACGUUUUCUCCACACCACAGAAGGGAAAGGUGA
rnacentral:lncRNA from 1 species